rnacentral:rRNA from 1 species
GUUUGUUUGAAGUUAUAAAGAAUUUAACCUGCCCCCUGAUUAAUUAUUAUUAAAGGGCCGCAGUAUUAUAACUGUGCAAAGGUAGCAUAAUCAUUAGGUUUUUAAUUGAAAUCUCGUAUGAAUGGUUGGACAAAAGAAAAACUCUCUUUAUGUUAAGUUUUGAAUUUAACUUUUAAGUGAAAAGGCUUAAAUAUUCUAAAGGGACGAUAAGACCCUAUAAAACUUUACAUUGUCGUUAAUUUUAAUUGAAUUUAUAAAAUAAAAAUUUUAUUUGAUUAUUUGUUAUGUUGGGGAGACAUAAGUAAAAAUUUUUUAACUGCUUUGACAAUUAUACAAUUAUUAAUGGAAUAAUAGAAGAUCCUUUUUUAAGAUUAGUAGAUUAAGUUACUUUAGGGAUAACAGUGUAAUUUCUUUUGAGAGUUCUUAUCGAAAAAGAAGAUUGCAACCUCGAUGUUGAAUUAAAAUAUCUAUAUAAUGGAGAGGUUAUAUAAGAAGGUCUGUUCGACCUUGAAAAUUUUACAUGAUUUGAGUUCAAACCGGUGUGAG